rnacentral:tRNA from 1 species
AGCUAGGUGGCUCAGUGGAUAGAGCGCCAGGCUUGGAGUCUGGAGGACCUGGCUU